rnacentral:rRNA from 1 species
CCUACGGGAGGCAGCAGUAGGGAAUAUUGCUCAAUGGGGGAAACCCUGAAGCAGCAACGCCGCGUGGAGGAUGAAGGUUUUCGGAUUGUAAACUCCUUUUGUUAGAGAAGUCAAUUUCGGUACCUAACCCCUUUUCUCCGGCUAACUCCGGGCCAGCAGCCGCGGGAACACGGAGGGCGCAAGCGUUAUCCGGAAGCACUGGGCGUAAAGGGCGCGUCUGCGGGUUCGCAAGUCAGAUGGGAAAUCCUAUGGCUUAACCAUAGAACUGCAUUUGAAACUGUUAUGCUAGAGUAUGGGAGAGGUAGGUGGAAUUCGUGGUGUAGGGGUGAAAUCCGUAGAGAUCAAGAAGAAUACUCAUUGCGAAGGCGGCGUGCGAGAACAUAACUGACGCUGAUGCGCGAAAGCGUGGGGAGCAAACAGGAUUAGAUACCCGAGUAGUC